UAUGGUGUGUGCCAGCAGCCGCGGUAAUACGGAGGAUGCGAGCGUUAUCCGGAUUUAUUGGGUUUAAAGGGAGCGCAGACGGGUCGUUAAGUCAGCUGUGAAAGUUUGGGGCUCAACCUUAAAAUUGCAGUUGAUACUGGCGUCCUUGAGUGCGGUUGAGGUGUGCGGAAUUCGUGGUGUAGCGGUGAAAUGCUUAGAUAUCACGAAGAACUCCGAUUGCGAAGGCAGCACACUAAUCCGUAACUGACGUUCAUGCUCGAAAGUGUGGGUAUCAAACAGG
rnacentral:rRNA from 1 species